rnacentral:rRNA from 1 species
GACGAACGCUGGCGGCGUGCUUAACACAUGCAAGUCGAACGGAGCGAAUGAAAGCUUGCUUUUAUGAGCUUAGUGGCAAACGGGUGAGUAACACGUAGACAACCUGCCGACAGGAUGGGGACAACAUUCCGAAAGGAAUGCUAAUACCGAAUGAAGCGGAGGAGAGGCAUCUCUCUUCCGUGAAAGAUGGCCUCUGAACAUGCUACCACCUGUCGAUGGGUCUGCGUCUGAUUAGCUGGUUGGUGAGGUAACGGCUCACCAAGGCGACGAUCAGUAGCCGGUCUGAGAGGAUGAACGGCCACAUUGGGAUGAGACACGGCCCAGACUCCUACGGGAGGCAGCAGUGGGGAAUCUUCCGCAGUGGGCGCAAGCCUGACGGAGCAACGCCGCGUGAGUGAAGAAGGUCUUCGGAUCGUAAAGCUCUGUUGACGGGGACGAACGUGCGAGAGGUGAAUAGACUCUUGCAAUGACGGUACCUGUCGAG